AUCUCAUUUGAGUGAGAUGGGAGUCAAUAUUCUCUAGCUAUUAGUCUCUCUUUCUCUAUAUAAAUAUAUAUAUAUACAAUCGUGUUUGCUUCUGGACGCCCAAACCGAGUCAAGAGUAAUUAAGAACUUUGUGUCUUCUCUUAUGGAGGGGAAAGCUAUUCUUCUUUGCCUUAUGGUGCUUGUGCAGCUAGGAAAUUCCUUUCAUGAUGAGGAAUGUAAGGAGAUGGUUGCUGCUUACGGACGUGAGUGCGAUGUGUCAACUUGCCAGGUGGCCUGCAAGGAUUUGUUUGGACCUGAACUUAGAAAGUUUUGGUGUGCCAAUGUUGUCCCAUACUAUUGGCAUUGUUAUUGCCUCGUCUGUUGGUAGCGUCGCAAUAAACCAUCAUGUCAAACAAUGGACAAGUGAUGUGAUCUAGUAAUAAAAUCUUAUUGUGAUCUGAGAAUAUAUAAUGAUCGCCAAAUUUAUGUGUUCUAUUCGAUUUUGUCAUGUGUGAUAUUUUA